UCUGAACUAACAGAAAGUGAAGGGUUUGCCUGUAUCCUGCAGUGGUAUAACCGACCACCAUCUGUGAUGUCAUCAGCUUCUAUACCUGAUGAUGUCACAUGUCCUUGGCUGCUGGUGUAUUAGAGGAGAAGAACAAAGUAAUUCAGGUCACCAACCGCACCCAACAAACCAUAUUGACAGUUCCUAGUCAAGAUGAAGUCGCGUUGGACGGCUGCCUGUUUCUUAAGAUGGAAAUUCUGUUGGGACAUUUUGUUGGUGAUAAAUUAGAAGAAGACCAGCUACUGCAAAAAUGACUGCUCCAACAGGGAAAGAAACACAGACAUAAUACAGAACCUUCAGAAGUGUUUGGGGCCUUGCCGUAUCCUUCUCAUACCCCAAAAAUCAAGCCAUGUUCAACAAGAUGCCAGAAUACAAAGAAUAUGACUGUGCCAC